AAACUUUGUUCGUUAAAAUUUAAUAAAAGAUGAAAAAAACCUCCCUCUGAUAGAAAUAACUACUGCAGCAAUUAAUAAAUUGCCGCUCUCAAGAAAUUUGAUUUUGUUUGUUUUUCAAACAAAAUUUCAAACGUUAGAUAGAAAUAAAUGGGAAUGCGCACUUGACUGGUUGCUUCAGUUUUCACCACUUCCAUGAUAUACUAAACUGCUAGCUGAACCAUGAACGUAAUUAACAGUGUUUAACAAUUAACAGAGUAAUUAAGAAAUUGGUGUUUCAUCGCGGUUGAAGAUCAAAGAUAAGUCAAUUUGAACGGAACCAGAUGCGUCUUGAGCACUUAAAAUCCAAAUACUUUUACUUUUAUAGCAUUUUCUUGUGAAGUGAGCGUUUUCACUGAUAUAUGCUUCAAAUUAAAUUAAAACCAUUAGUGAAUGAUUCUAACUUGUUUUGGAAACAUAUAGAUUUGAAACUUUUUUGUAAGUUAUGAUAAAAACGUUUUUGUAACCAAUUAAAGUUAUAAAAAAAAAAAAAAAAAACAUUUUUUGUCUUUGGCUCAUUUUUUGUCUUUGGGGUAACUUUAGCCAAGGCUAAAGUAAAGUUAAAUUACGUGGAAAAAAACUGUUAUGAAAUAACUUUAGUGAUUAUUUGUAGAUUACGCUAAGGUGUUUUUAUUUUAGUUAUGACUAGGUCGUGUCACAACAGACACUAUUUACAUCAAAUUAUUUUAAUAUGUUUUAGCUAUAUAUAAUAGUACUUUUCAAACAAAAAGACUAAACAAAUAACCAGCUCAGGUAUAUCUUGCAUUACUAAAGGGUUCAGAUGUUGCUAUAGAUAGAUAUAGCACAAAAAACUCUAAACUUAAAACUCUAAACUUUUUUUAAAAGUUAUAUCUUUACUACAACCUGAAAUUAAAGCUAGAUUUAAUUUUAAUGGAAAUACCAAUUAUAUGGUUGCAUUCUAUAUUGAUGUACGUUCUAAAACUAGUUUCAAUGUUUAGUUAAGACACAACAAACAAAACUAAAAAAAUAUAUAUUUUUAUUUGGUUUAGUGUUUAGUAAACAAAACAAGUAGCAACUUAGAAACAAAUAGAAAAAAAUAUAUAUUUUCCUAUUUUUUUUGAUUUUAGAUGCAAUAAAAAUGCUUGACCUUGCAUGA